rnacentral:rRNA from 1 species
AUAGCGUAUAUUAAAGUUGUUGCAGUUAAAAAGCUCGUAGUUGAACCUUGGGUCAGGGAUGAACGGUCCGCCUCACCGCGUGCACUGCCAAUCCAGACCUUUCCUUCUGGCAAACCUCAUGCCCUUUACUGGGUGUGCUGUGUGAACCAGAACUUUUACUUUGAAAAAAUUAGAGUGUUCAAAGCAGGCAUUUGCUCGAAUACAUUAGCAUGGAAUAAUAGAAUAGGACGUGCGGUUUUAUUUUGUUGUUUUCUAGGACCGCCGUAAUGAUUAAUAGGGAUAGUCGGGGGCAUCCGUAUUCAAUUGUCAGAGGUGAAAUUCUUGGAUUUAUUGAAGACGAACUACUG